UACGUAGGGGGCAAGCGUUGUCCGGAUUUAUUGGGCGUAAAGAGCGUGUAGGCGGUUUGGUAGGUCCGCUGUGAAAACUCGAGGCUCAACCUCGAGACGCCGGUGGAAACCAUCAGACUAGAGUCCGGAAGAGGAGAGUGGAAUUCCUGGUGUAGCGGUGAAAUGCGCAGAUAUCAGGAGGAACACCAAUGGCGAAGGCAGCUCGCUGGGACGGUACUGACGCUGAGGCGCGAAAGCGUGGGGAGCAAACAGG
rnacentral:rRNA from 1 species